CACUUGUCUAUUUAGAUAGGUACAUAGAUCGGAUAGGUUUAGAUCUUGGGCAAACUCAGGCAGGUGGGACAAGUGUAGAUGGGCAUCUUGGUUGGUCUGGGCAAGUUGAGCCGAAGGGCCUGUUCCUAUGGUCUGUGACUCUAUGACUCGAUGAUGUUUAAUUGUCAUUGGUAUUGACAACAGAACAAUUAAAAUCUCAUUUGCAGCAACAUAACA